rnacentral:rRNA from 1 species
CCUACGGGUGGCAGCAGUGAGGAAUAUUGGUCAAUGGGCGCGAGCCUGAACCAGCCAAGUAGCGUGAAGGAUGACUGCCCUACGGGUUGUAAACUUCUUUUAUAAAGGAAUAAAGUGAGGCACGUGUGCCUUUUUGUAUGUAUUUUAUGAAUAAGGAUCGGCUAACUCCGUGCCAGCAGCCGCGGUAAUACGGAGGAUCCGAGCGUUAUCCGGAUUUAUUGGGUUUAAAGGGAGCGUAGAUGGGUUGUUAAGUCAGUUGUGAAAGUUUGCGGCUCAACCGUAAAAUUGCAAUUGAUACUGGCAGCCUUGAGUACAGUUGAGGUAGGCGGAAUUCGUGGUGUAGCGGUGAAAUGCUUAGAUAUCACGAAGAACUCCGAUUGCGAAGGCAGCCUACUAGACUGCCACUGACAUUGAUGCUCGAAAGCGUGGGUAGCAAACAGGAUUAGAUACCCUUGUAGUC